UGUUCCAUAAUGGUAGCUAGCUAUAGCCAGCUUUUUUUUUUAAAAGGGUUAUUAGCUUUGCUGCACCUUCCUCGUGUGUGCUGUUGUGCUGCUCUUGUUUUUUAGUGUGGAAGAAUCUGUAAAGCUCAGGAGGGAUAGCGCCAUGGAUGAUCUCUUCUCCACUCUUGAUCUUCUCUUGCGCUAUCCAUCCUGAGUUUCAUGGCUUCUAUCCACACACAAUGGAAGAAGCUCCUCUCUGUUUUUUGCCUCUAUAUUUGCCUGAAUCUUGACUUUUCAGGAGACACCCCCCAAAGGAAAAAGAAAUUGGUCUCUUAAUCAUCAUGCCCUACUCUAUACACUAGUCAAGUUUUGUUUCCCCAAGUGAAAGAGAGUGCCUAAGGAUGAAGUAAUAAGUGGAAGAAAGUAGACACCAAAAUGUGUUAAGCCUCUUGGGUUGUGUAGAGUGAUUCUCUCUUUAAUUUGCUUCAAAGUUUUCUCUUUUUAAAGUGUAUUUUAAAAGUUGAUGACUAGCCAAAAUUUGGUAUCUGUUAAUGUCUAUCUAACACUAUAUCCAUAUAUGCUACAAUAUAAGUUCAAGUAAGUAAACUCAGAAGAUCAAAUGAAUGGUUCUCUUUACAAA